CCUACGGGUGGCAGCAGUGAGGAAUAUUGGUCAAUGGCCGGAAGGCUGAACCAGCCAAGCCGCGUGAAGGACGAAGGUGCCAAGCAUUGUAAACUUCUUUUGGCAAGGGACAAAAUCAGGCUCGAGAGCCUGACCGAGGGUACUUGAAGAAAAAGCAUCGGCUAACUCCGUGCCAGCAGCCGCGGUAAUACGGAGGAUGCGAGCGUUAUCCGGAUUUAUUGGGUUAAAAGGGUGCGUAGGCGGGCUGUUAAGUCAGCGGUAAAAGCCCGGGGCUCAACCCCGGCGAGCCGUUGAAACUGGAUGUCUGUAGUAGUCGAGUGGUAUGCGGAAUGCGCAGUGUAGCGGUGAACUGCGUA
rnacentral:rRNA from 1 species